UGGAGAGUAAGCUGACGACGGACUGUACUUGGCAGACUGAGGAUUAUAGCUUGGAGAUGUAGGGCUGUAACUGGGCGAGGUUGGACUAUAACUGGGAGAGGUUGGGCUGUAACCAGGAGAAGUUGGGCUGUAGGCUGGCGAGGUAGGGCUGUAGGAUGGAGAUGUGGGGCUGUAGGAGGGAGAAGUUGGGCUGUAGGAGGGCGAAGUUGGGCUGUAGGAGGGCGAAGUUGGGCUGUAUGAAGGAGACGUGGGACUGUAAGAUGGGGAAGUGGGGCUAUAUGCAGGGGAAGUGGGGCUGUAAGCGGGGGAAGUGGGGCUGUAAGCAGGGGAAGUGGGGCUGUAGCUUGGUGAGGUGGGACUGUAGCUUGGUGAGGUGGGGCUGUAGCUGGGAGAGGUUGGUGAGUAUGAUGGACUCGUAGGAGAGUAAGCUGGACUGGUGGGACUAUAGCCAGGAGAACUAGGACUAUAUGUCGGAGAGGUGGGACUGUACCCAGGAGAAGUGGGGCUAUACCCUGGUGAGGUGGGACUGUACCCAGGAGAAGUGGGGCUGUAUCCAGGCGAGGAAGGGCUGUAUCCAGGGGAUGAUGGGCUGUAGCCUGGAGAGGAAGUAGGAGAGAAUGCCAUUCCUCCAACAUAUGGAGAAAACUGAGCAUCUGAAAUUGGCGACAACCGAAGAUUUGGGCUCAACAAAUAAUUAGGGGACAUCAUG
rnacentral:lncRNA from 1 species